UCCCCCUUAGCUCAGUGGUAGAGCGCUUCACUAGUAUUGUCGGCACCGAUGUCGGGACAUGAAGAGGUCAGUCGUUCAAGUCGGCUAGGGGGAA